ACUCUCUUAUGGUCAGUGGGUUUACAGAUUGAUAGCAAUGUUGGCGGCGGAAUAUGGUCUAGGACCGCGCUUCCCAAACUCGCUUUUCGCGGCGCACCGGCUUGUUGCAAACUCGCUUGUAGAUGAACAAAAAAAGCGAUCCGACGAACGGCUGGUGCGCCGCGAAAACCGAGUUUGGGAAGCUAUGGUCUAAGGUCAUACUUUUUAGAUGGCAUUUGGAAUAGCUCUCAUAGUCCAGCUUGACGAUAUGUCUGUAAACAGUGCAUACACUGAAACUAAUGCUGUAGUAACUUAAACCAUACCAUUGUUGUUAACGCAACUAUUUUCAAUUAUUGUUAAUUUGAAUGAAUUUGUUUCAAUUAUAAAAACAAUGUUAUUGAAAUUACCAUGUUGCAACACCACAAUUCAGUGUAUUUUCAACUAUGUUGUUAUAGUCGGAAAUCAUUCUUUCUCAAGUUAAACUGACUACCCGUUUAGUAAUGAAUAACGGAAAGUGUUCUCGAUUUUACCAUGCCCAUGGUAGGAAUAAGAAUUAAAAUAAUGUAAUUCUCACCAGCGCUCACUUACGUUUCGAGCUCACUUUCAUUAUGACGCCAUAUUUUUGUGCACCAGUCAAGCCUGGACUUUGCUUAGUUGUGUGGUUCGCUUCAAAAUGUAUUAAUUAAAUCAAACAAUAAAGGAGAAAAGUAGCUGAAUAGAAAUAAUAAAAUAGCAGAAAUGUAAUUAUACAGAAAUAGAAGUUCUUGUUUUCAAAUGUUCAAGAUUCAGACCUGCGAAAUGUCCGGGCUGAGAAUCUAGAUUUCCUCAUACCAAAAUCCAGAGCUGCCAAGAUUCGAGUCGCGCAAUGUAUAGCAGAGAAAUACCACCCAAACCUGCUGAGUGUACUUUGACCUACGUAUCGAGCAGUGAGAACCUCCACCCGGAUUUCUUUAUAAUCGAUGCCACAGGAAAGCGGAAGAGUUUACAGAAGCUGUCAUGCAUAUCGUCCCUACUUUUGUUUUGCUUCCAAAAUUCAACGACGAAUUCUUCGAUCCAAAUAAUGAUAAGGUAUUUUUUAAGUGAAAAUUAUCGAACUAAAUAAAAAAUAAUAUCUUGCAAAUAUAUAUUGACUCUAUUCAAGGUAUGCGCAUUUGCAUUUAGAUUGGAAUACCGAUAAAUCUAAAUGCAUUAUGCGUGGACCUUGAUGAAUUAAUAAUAUCCAAUAAUACAAGCAGCUCGGCAUUCUUUAUUUUAAAUGCAAUUAAUGCAUUAGCGUAACUUCAACUUAAAUCUAGAGGGGGCUUGACUCACACGAUAAACAAAAUCUCUUUAGCAAGGUGCAUACUUA